AAAUGUCUAGUUUGUGAAUCAAAUCUUUGAUUGGUUAAACAGGGAAACGAAUUUCUCCAGAGUGUCUUCGACUUCACACCGGAAAAACAUUUCCAUCAUGAAAAAAUCUGGGACGAGGCCACUGUCAUGUAUUUCAUACCCGAAGCAAGAACCAAGAGAACCAGACAGAGACUAUUUAUGUCCCCUAAUUCUGCAUAUAACAAGGCAAGAACUCAGUUACUGAACAAGAAUAGAAUGUUAACCAAGCGGGGAAGCAUUGGUCAUGGUGAUGAAUGAAGAAGUGGAGCAGGAAAAGAAGAUUGUUUUAGGGCUUCAAGUACAGUGCUUGGGUCUUAAGAGCAAC